rnacentral:piRNA from 1 species
UGACACAGUAUUGCCCCGUUCCAGU